AUUGAACGCUGGCGGCAGGCCUAACACAUGCAAGUCGAACGGUAGCACAGAGAGCUUGCUCUCGGGUGACGAGUGGCGGACGGGUGAGUAAUGUCUGGGAAACUGCCCGAUGGAGGGGGAUAACUACUGGAAACGGUAGCUAAUACCGCAUAACGUCGCAAGACCAAAGUUGGGGACCUUCGGGCCUCACACCAUCGGAUGUGCCCAGAUGGGAUUAGCUAGUAGGUGGGGUAAUGGUUCACCUAGGCGACGAUCCCUAGCUGGUCUGAGAGGAUGACCAGCCACACUGGAACUGAGACACGGUCCAGACUCCUACGGGAGGCAGCAGUGGGGAAUAUUGCACAAUGGGCGCAAGCCUGAUGCAGCCAUGCCGCGUGUAUGAAGAGGGCCUUCGGGUUGUAAAGUACUUUCAGCGGGGAGGAAGGCGGUGAAGUUAAUAACUUCACCGAUUGACGUUACCCGCAGAAGAAGCACCGGCUAACUCCGUGCCAGCCGCCGCGGUAA
rnacentral:rRNA from 1 species